rnacentral:sRNA from 1 species
AUGUGAGGUGGGCGGGCCGCUGCGGGGUGUGGCCCUGACUUCCUGUUUCCUGCCAUUUCCGGUGUCCCCCCCACUUAUGAAUAUUCAAAUCAGCAAAACCUUCGCUUCUUCGCUGUGGUUUUAUGCAAAUCAGAUGCAAAGGCACGCGGUGGGCGUCGUUCUUUAGAUUUAUGCAAAUCGUGCAGGCGAAUAUUCAAAUCACAUAAAUGAGAACUUGGUGAUGUGGCCUCAGGGGUGGGGCUUCCUACCCUGACCUUGAUUGACGGCUGCCGUAGGGGCGUGGCCUCACCCAACUCCGCCCUCCUCUCGCCCCGCAGGAGGUGGCCACCCGGACCAACCAGGUGAUUCUCAUGGUGAGGGGAGGGGUCUCACCUGUCACCGGAAAUGGGGCUCUGACUUUUGCCCACCUGUCAAUCAUGUCGUGGACCCGCCCCCUCGCUUCCUGUCAGUGCUGCGCUCUCCCGCCCGCCUGUCAAUCAUUUCCUGCUCCCGCCCCUCACUUCCUGCCUUUCCCACAUUUACUUCCUGUCUAAGCUGGUCCCACCCCGCAGGCUCCACCCCCCUGGCGGCCAUCUUGUCUCCUGCGGUCUCGGUUGUGGUCCUAGCGCUGCUCGGCGCGGGGGUCGGAUUCGUCCGCUCGGGGCGUGGCCCCCGUUGGUGCCUAGGGAACCGCGGGCCCCGGGAGUCGGCGCCAGUGUGAGAAGGACGUCGCUCUGACCUCUGCGCGACUCCCGGACGACGACGUUGCCGCGCCGGGUUGUGGAAUGGGGGCGGGUGGGGUCGGGUCCUGGGACCUCCGGCUGAGGCAAGAUGGCUGCCGCCCAGGAGAGAGCGGGGACUUCCUGUUUUGGCUCUGCCUCGGGUCCUCUGACCCGGGUGUGGGAAUAAAGCGAAGGCAUGGCCCCUCACACGG